rnacentral:rRNA from 1 species
GCAUGCCUACGGGACGCAGCAGUGGGGAAUAUUGCGCAAUGGGGGAAACCCUGACGCAGCAACGCCGCGUGCGGGAUGAAGGCUUUCGGGUUGUAAACCGCUUUCAGCAGGGAAGAUAAUGACGGUACCUGCAGAAGAAGCCCCGGCUAACUACGUGCCAGCAGCCGCGGUAAUACGUAGGGGGCAAGCGUUAUCCGGAUUCAUUGGGCGUAAAGCGCGCGCAGGCGGGCC